AGCAAACUCACCACUCAGCAUUUCUCAGCAGGAAAACGUGAGGGUGAGAGGAACACAGUCUGAGCCCAGACUUGUUUGAGACUGGGGCUAGGAUGCCGUCUACUCAUGAUUUUAAGUCAUCUCUACACCCACUGUGGGGCUCGACUCAUAACCACGAGAUCAAGGGUCGCAUGUUCUGACUGAGCCAGCCAGGUGCCCUGUAAUCACGUCUUCUUGAGUGUGGGCUGGAUGGAGUGGCUUACUGCUCGUGAGCAGUAAUAAGCUGUCAUUUCUAAGAUUAGGUUCUGGAAGGUUGCGUUUUCAUCUCGGUCUCUUUCUCUCCCUCUGUCUCCCUCUCUCUUUCCUACUCCCAGCUCUUUUUGAGGAGCCGGGUACUAUGCUGUGAGCGAAAGACUUCGAGACAAGGAGCCAGGGAGACCACCAGCCAAAACCCAACGAGGAAGUGAUGUCUUUGCGAACAGAUCAUGGGGACUCGAGGCUGCCGAGAGCUACAGGGGUGAGGCGGGUGGUACUGGCUCCGGGAGGACACCUUGACCAGUGAGGGAUCCCACCAGCUAAGCCGUGCCCGGAUUACCGAUCCACAGAAAUGGUGAGAUACAAGAUGCUUAUUUUCAGCUGCUGAGUUCUGUAGUUUGUUGCACAACAGUCGGUAACAAAUAUGGUCCAAUGAAUUCACGGUUUUGCUUAAGCCAGUUUGCAUUGGCUUCAAGUCACAUACCACGGAGAGGCUUUUAAUUUUUUUAAGUACAUCGAUUGAGAGGGAGGGGCGGGGGGAGAGACUGGAGGGAAACUGGAGACAGAAGAGAAUCCAGAGCGCGCACGGCACUGUCGAUGCAGGGCUCCAGCUCACAGACUGGGAGCUUGUGACCUGAGCCGAAAUCAAGAGUUGGUGGCUUAACCGACUGAGCCACCCAGACGCCCCUGAAAUUUGAUUUUUUUACUGUUUGUAUUCUGUUUUGAGUUCCCUUGUAUCCCUGUUCAUUUUUAAAACAUUUCCUCUUUCAAGUUUGUUUAUUCAUUUAUCUAUUUUGAAAGAGAGACAGAAAGAGCGGGUGGGGGAGGGGCAGAGAGAGAACGAGAGAAUCCCCAGCAGGCUCUGCGCUGACAGCUGCUACAAGGCCGUAGCAUGAGAGGACCUGGAAAGAAAACUUCAGGAAGCAGGCACGGGUCGUUUCCGGUGACAUCCAGUGAGUCGACACACAAUGUUACAUGAGUUUCAGGCGUAUGACAUGGUGAGUCGACAAGUCUAUACAGCAUGCUGUGCUCACCACACGUGUGGCUGACAUCUGUCACCACUUAGCGGUGUUACAGUUGAACCCAAGUUUAUAUGAAGUAUAAUGCCUUAAACUUGUGAGCAAGUUUACAAGUCAAAACCACACUGAGAUACCACCUCGCGCAGGUCAGAGUGGCUAAAAUUAACACUCGGGAAACUACAGAUGUUGGCGAGGAUGCGGAGAAAUGGGAACCCUCUUGCGCUGUUGGUGGGAAUGCAAAUGGGUGCAGCCGCUCUGCAAACUGGUGGAGGUUCCUCGAAAAAUUAAAAAUAGAACUCCCCUACGACCCAGGAAUAACACUACUAGGAAUUUAUCCAAAGGGUACAGGAGUGCUGAUGCAUAGGGGCACGUGUGUCCCAAUGUU